rnacentral:rRNA from 1 species
UACGUGAGGGACCGAGCGUUGUCCGGAAUCAUUGGGCGUAAAGAGCGUGUAGGCGGCCACUUAAGUCCUGCGUGAAAUCUUGCGGCUCAACCGCAAGCCGGUCGUGGGAAACUGGGUGGCUAGAGUGCGGGAGAGGAGAGUGGGAAUUCCGUGGUGUAGCGGUGGAAUGCGCAGAUAUCAGGAAGAACACCCGUGGCGAAGGCGGCUCCUCUGGAACGCAACUGCGCUGAAGACGCGAAAGCGUGGGGAGCAAACAGG